UCGAACGACACGACGGAAUACUAGAAGUGUUAGUGGCGGACGGGUGAGUAACACGUGAGCACCUACCUCAGAGUGGGGGACAACAGUUGGAAACGACUGCUAAUACCGCAUAAGGUCGCAUGGCAAAAGGAGCAAUGCUCUGAGAUGGGCUCGCGUCUGAUUAGCUAGUUGGUGAGGUAACGGCCCACCAAGGCAACGAUCAGUAGCCGGACUGAGAGGUUGAACGGCCACAUUGGGACUGAGACACGGCCCAGACUCCUACGGGAGGCAGCAGUGGGGAAUAUUGCACAAUGGGGGAAACCCUGAUGCAGCGACGCCGCGUGAGGGAAGACGGUUUUCGGAUUGUAAACCUCUGUCUUGUGGGACGAUAGUGACGGUACCACAGGAGGAAGCCAUGGCUAACUACGUGCCAGCAGCCGCGGUAAUACGUAGAUGGCGAGCGUUGUCCGGAAUUACUGGGUGUAAAGGGAGUGUAGGCGGGCUGGUAAGUUGAAUGUGAAACCUUCGGGCUCAACCCGGAGCGUGCGUUCAAAACUGCUGGUCUUGAGUGAAGUAGAGGCAGGCGGAAUUCCCGGUGUAGCGGUGGAAUGCGUAGAUAUCGGGAGGAACACCAGUGGCGAAGGCGGCCUGCUGGGCUUUUACUGACGCUGAGGCUCGAAAGCAUGGGUAGCAAACAGGAUUAGAUACCCUGGUAGUCCAUGCCGUAAACGAUGAUUACUAG
rnacentral:rRNA from 1 species